GAUGAACGCUGGCGGCGUGCUUAACACAUGCAAGUCGAACGAUGAAGCCCAGCUUGCUGGGUGGAUUAGUGGCGAACGGGUGAGUAACACGUGAGUAACCUGCCCUUGACUCUGGGAUAAGCCUGGGAAACUGGGUCUAAUACUGGAUAUGACUUCUCAUCGCAUGGUGGGGGGUGGAAAGAUUUAUUGGUCUUGGAUGGACUCGCGGCCUAUCAACUUGUUGGUGAGGUAGUGGCUCACCAAGGCGACGACGGGUAGCCGGCCUGAGAGGGUGACCGGCCACACUGGGACUGAGACACGGCCCAGACUCCUACGGGAGGCAGCAGUGGGGAAUAUUGCACAAUGGGCGCAAGCCUGAUGCAGCGACGCCGCGUGAGGGAUGACGGCCUUCGGGUUGUAAACCUCUUUCAGUAGGGAAGAAGCGAGAGUGACGGUACCUGCAGAAGAAGCGCCGGCUAACUACGUG
rnacentral:rRNA from 1 species